rnacentral:rRNA from 1 species
GACGAACGCUGGCGGCGUGCUUAACACAUGCAAGUCGAACGGAAAGGCCCUGCUUUUGUGGGGUGCUCGAGUGGCGAACGGGUGAGUAACACGUGAGUAACCUGCCCUUGACUUUGGGAUAACUUCAGGAAACUGGGGCUAAUACCGGAUAGGAGCUCCUGCUGCAUGGUGGGGGUUGGAAAGUUUCGGCGGUUGGGGAUGGACUCGCGGCUUAUCAGCUUGUUGGUGGGGUAGUGGCUUACCAAGGCUUUGACGGGUAGCCGGCCUGAGAGGGUGACCGGCCACAUUGGGACUGAGAUACGGCCCAGACUCCUAUGGGAGGCAGCAGUGGGGAAUAUUGCACAAUGGGCGGAAGCCUGAUGCAGCAACGCCGCGUGCGGGAUGACGGCCUUCGGGUUGUAAACCGCUUUCGCCUGUGACGAAGCGUGAGUGACGGUAGUGGGUAAAGAAGCACCGGCUAACUACGUG